GGGGGCGUAGGCGAAUCGGUACAGCCACCGGUCUCAAACACCGGCGACAAUUGUGUCGUUGCGGGUUCGAAUCCCGCGGCCCCCA
rnacentral:tRNA from 1 species